rnacentral:rRNA from 1 species
GACGAACGCUGGCGGCAUGCCUAACACAUGCAAGUCGAACGAAGGCUUCGGCCUUAGUGGCGCACGGGUGAGUAACGCGUGGGAAACUGCCUAUUGGUGGGGAAUAACGACGGGAAACUGUCGCUAAUACCGCAUAAGCCCUUCGGGGGAAAGAUUUAUCGCCGAUAGAUGUGCCCGCGUCCGAUUAGCUAGUUGGUGAGGUAAUGGCUCACCAAGGCGGCGAUCGGUAGCUGGUCUGAGAGGAUGAUCAGCCACACUGGGACUGAGACACGGCCCAGAGUCCUACGGGAGGCAGCAGUGGGGAAUAUUGGACAAUGGGCGAAAGCCUGGUCCAGCAAUGCCGCGUGAGUGAUGAAGGCCUUAGGGUUGUAAAGCUCUUUCGGGUGGGACGAUGAUGACGGUACCACCAGAAGAAGCCCCGGCUAACUUCGUGCCAGCCGCCGCAGUAA